rnacentral:rRNA from 1 species
GACGAACGCGGGCGGCGUGCCUAAUACAUGCAAGUCGAGCGAAGUUUUUCUGGUGCUUGCACUAGAAAAACUUAGCGGCGAACGGGUGAGUAACACGUAAAGAACCUGCCUCAUAGACUGGGACAACUAUUGGAAACGAUAGCUAAUACCGGAUAACAGCAUUAACUGCAUGGUUGAUGUUUAAAAGUUGAUUUUGCUAACACUAUGAGAUGGCUUUGCGGUGCAUUAGCUAGUUGGUGGGGUAAAGGCCUACCAAGGCGACGAUGCAUAGCCGACCUGAGAGGGUGAUCGGCCACACUGGGACUGAGACACGGCCCAGACUCCUACGGGAGGCAGCAGUAGGGAAUCUUCCGCAAUGGGCGAAAGCCUGACGGAGCAACGCCGCGUGAGUGAAGAAGGAUUUCGGUUCGUAAAGCUCUGUUGUUAGGGAAGAAUGAUUGUGUAGUAACUAUACACAGUAGAGACGGACCUACCA